rnacentral:rRNA from 1 species
UACGUAGGUGGCGAGCGUUGUCCGGAUUUACUGGGCGUAAAGGGAGCGUAGGCGGACUUUUAAGUGAGAUGUGAAGUAUUCGGGCUCAACUUGAGUGCUGCAUUUCAAACUGGAAGUCUAGAGUGCAGGAGAGGAGAAUGGAAUUCCUAGUGUAGCGGUGAAAUGCGUAGAGAUUAGGAAGAACACCAGUGGCGAAGGCGAUUCUCUGGACUGUAACUGACGCUGAGGCUCGAAAGCGUGGGGAGCAAACAGG